ACGACAUAAGGCGCUAUAUGAAAUGCAAGGCUGAUUAUUAUCAGCAGGAGUUGUUGUGUGAGCUGUAGGGCCUGGCAGGCAGGCAGGCAGGCAGGCAAGGCAGGAGCUAAUGUGUAGAGCGGCCACUGAGUCAGAGUAGCGAGGGAGGGAGCGAGAAUCAAUCAAAUAAGUGACGUGUGCACUGUGAAGGAGGGCGUAGGGAAAUGAGAGAAAAUGUGGAAGACAGACAACGCAAAGGCAGAUAAGCACCUGGCAAUUCUGGCCUACAGAAACACGCCGAACGACAAUGAAGGACAUUCACCAGCACAAAUACUGAUGUCAAUACAGUUAAGAGAUUUAUUAAUCUCAGACCAAACACAAUUGAGACCUCAGAUACAACACAAUAGAAAUGGAGGGAAACCACAAAGUGAACCAGGAAAGGGAGAACUUUUGCAAAAGGAGAAAAAAUACC